rnacentral:rRNA from 1 species
AUGUCGGGGGUUUUCGGCAGGGUGUUCGGGAAGUCCAAGGAGCAGAGCCAGGCGUCCGCGCUGGCCUCCAUCGACAAGCUCAGCGAGACUCUUGAAAUGUUGGAAAAGAAGGAAAAUUUACUAAUGAAGAAGGCGAAUCUUGAAGUUGAGAAGGCAAAGGCGUUCACCAAAGCCAAGAACAAAAAAGCUGCACUACAGUGUCUCAAGAGGAAGAGAUUAUAUGAGCAACAGGUGGAGCAGCUUGGGAAUUUCCAAUUGAGGAUUCAUGAUCAGAUGAUAAUGCUGGAAGGUGCAAAAGCUACAACAGAGACUGUGGAUGCAUUGAGAACCGGAGCAUCAGCAAUGAAAGCUAUGCACAAAUCAACAAAUAUUGAUGAUGUUGACAAAACCAUGGAUGAAAUUAAUGACAAUAUGGAGAACAUGAGGCAGAUCCAGGAUCUACUGUCUGCGCCUAUGGGAGCAGCAAGUGAUUUCGAUGAAGAUGAGCUGGAAGCUGAACUUGCGGAUUUGGAGGGCGAGGAGUUGGAGGCACAGCUACUAGCACCAACCACAAGUGCUCCUAUGACUGCUCCAGCGCGUGUACCUCAGCAGUCGAGUCGGCCCACUGCUCAGAGUAGUAAAACCGAAGAUGAUGAGCUGGCAGCUUUACAAGCAGAGAUGGCUAUGUAG